AUUGAACGCUGGCGGCAGGCCUAACACAUGCAAGUCGAACGAGUGGCGGACGGGUGAGUAAGGGAUGUGCAAAUGCCUGGGGGAUGGGGAAAAGUACUGGAAACGGUCGCCACAACCGACUACAAGCGGAUUGGCCCCGAUGGGAUGAGCUAGUGGGUGGGGUAAAUGCUCACCUAGGGGAGGAUCCCCAGCGGGUCUGAGAGGAUGACCAGCCACACUGGAACUGAGACACGGUCCAGACUCCUACGGGAGGCAGCAGUGGGGAAUAUUGGACAAUGGGCGCAAGCCUGAUGCAGCCAUGCCGCGUGUAUGAAGAAGGCCUUCGGGUUGUAAAGUACUUUCAGCGGGGAGGCGUUACCCGCAGAAGAAGCACCGGCUAACUCCGUGCCAGCAGCCGCGGUAAUAC
rnacentral:rRNA from 1 species